ensembl:lncRNA
AAAACAAAACAAAACAAUAAAAACAAAAGGAGCUUGAAAGGCAAAGGAGAUUUGAGGAAUUUGAGAAAGGAACUGGGCAGCCAGUGAUGCACCGAGAAAAUAUAUUAAUUAAGAUAGAUCCAUUUUAAGGGUGGAACAUUCAGGAAGAAGAGAGCUAUUACUUUAAAUUCACUAUCUAGAAUCCCAUAAUAUUGGUGCUGAUGAGAUGGCUCAGCAAUUAAGGGUGUAUACUGCUUUUGCAGAGGACCUAAGUUUGAUUCCCAGCACCCAUAUUAGGUGGCUCACAACUGCUUAUAACUCCAGCUCCAGGGGAAUCUGAUGUCUCUGGCCUUGGGGGGACAGCUAUACUCAUGUGCCCAUACACGGAGACAACACACACAUACACUUAAAAAUAAACCCUUAGGAUCCUGCAAUAUUAAGAGGUAGGUAGGGCUUCACAAAGCACAUAUGUAAUUAACAGGUAAGGAAAUAGACCCAGAGACCUUGCUGAUCAGACCAUCCAAGUAUUGGGGUUUCUCUUUCUCUCUUAAAUUAAAUUCCCUACACAUGGAAUCCUGUUCAUGGAUUAGAAAGACUUGAUUUGAAAUAAACUGAUCUGGCCAGGGUCUGGUCACUUUUUCUGAUAUAAAACUCCUGUGUUGCAGGGCUAGAGAGAUGACUCAGCAGUUAAGAGCAUUGACUACUCUUCCAGAGCACCCAAGUUUGAUUCCCAGCACUCAUACAGCAGCUCACACCAUCUCUGAUUCUAGUUUCAGGGGAUCUGACCUCUUCUGGCCUCUGACAGCACCAGAUAUACACAUGGUGCAUAGACAAAAAUGCAGGCAAAACACCCAUACACACUAUUGUUGUUAUUUUAUUUUUUGAGACAGGGUUUUUCUGUGUAAAAUUCAUGGUUGUCCUGAAACUCACUCUGACAGCCAGGACUACUCAUAGAAACCCUGUCUCAGAAAACAACCCCCCUCCAAAAGAAUAUGUUGGUCUGGCAUGGUAGUUUAAAUGUAAUUGAUUCUCAUAAUCUCAUAGUGAGUGGCAUUAUUAGGAGGCAUGACUUUGUUGGAGUAAGUAUGGCCGUUUUGGAGGAAGUGGGUCACUGUAUAGGCAGGCUUUGAGGUUUCCUAUGCUCAGGAUACUACCCAGUAUCUCAGUUGACUUCCUAUUGCCUGCAAGAUGUAGGACUCUCAGCUACCACAUGCCACCAUGCUCCCCAUCAUGAUGACAAUGGACUGAACCGCUGAAACUGCAAGCCAGCCCCAAUGAAAUGUUUUUCAUUUAUAAGAGUUGCUGUGGAACAGUCCUGAAGGGUUCCUGCUUCACUGAGAAGUCUGCCAGACACACUGUGGCCUAUAGGCUGAAGAUGGAUGCCCCAACGUUACAGAGGAAUUUUGGGUGACUGUCCAGGUAGUGAGAUGUCUCUGUCAAUUCUAGAGUUUAUAUAUUAUCCUUCUGUGGUCUUUGAUGGAGUUGAAGACAGUUAUGGUUAUAGUUUUCUUUAGUUAUUAUAAAUCGUAAGUUACAUGUAAGCCUUUAGACUCACAAAGAUAGGAUAGAUGAUAGAAUAUUUUCUUUAAAUCUUGCUAAAUGUUAAUGAACUAAAUAUCAUAACUAUAGCUCUUACUUGAUAACUGCUUUGCUAUACAUUUUACUAUGUUAAUGUUAAAAUCCUUUUUAUUUAGACAGAAAAGAGGAGAUGAUGGGGGAAGUCCUUCUGUGUAUAUGUUUGUCUUAUUGGUUGAUAAAGUACUGUUGACUAAUAGGGAAGCAAGUUAGGUGGAACUAGGAAUCUAGGAGGAUUCUGGGAAAUGUAGUAAAGAGAAGUCUUGUGAUCCAGGCAGGAAGUGACAUAGCAGGCAGACUCAGAAGAUAAGCAGGGACAAGCAGGAAAGCGCUCUCUUCGUCUUCCUCUCUUCUCUGAGCUGUUGACAUGUGAACCGACAAGAGAGGACACAUGCCGCCAGAGUCCUAGAUCAGAUAAGUCUUUAUAAAUAUAUAGAUUAAUGGCUAUGGUUGAUACUUAAGACAGAAUAAGCAUAUAAGAAAUCCUAAUCAUUGGCCAGCAGCAUUGUAAUUAAAAAAAAAAAGUUGCUGUGGUUGGCUGGAAAGAUGGCUCACAGGUUAAGAGCACUGGCUGCUCUUGGAGAGAUCCUGAGUUCAAUUCCCAGCAACGACAUGGUGGCUCACAACCCUCUUCUGGCCUACAGGCAUAUAUGCAGGCAAAAUACUAUAUACAUAAUAAAUAAAUAAAUCUUAAAAAAAAGAGUUGCUGUGGUCAUGGUGUCUCUUCACAGCAAUAAAAACCCUAAGAUAGUUGGGAAUGGUGGCACAUUCCUUUAAUCCCAGCACUCAGGAGGCAGAGGCAGGAUGAUCUCUGUAAGUUUGAGUCCAGCCUGGUCUACAAAGCAAGUUCCAGGACAGCUAGGGUUAUACAAUGAGACCAUCUCAAAUAUAUAAAUAUAUCCUAUAUUGUCCUUUAUUUAAAAUUUUUAGUAAUUCAUUUAAUCAUUUAACUUUAUUUCAUGUGCAUUGGUGUAAAGGUACCAGAUCCCCUGGAACUAAAGUUACAGACAAUUGUGAGCUGCCAUGUGGGUGUUGGGAAUUAAACUCGGGUCCUCUGGAAAAUCAGUGUUCUUAACCACUGAGCCAUCUCUCCAGUCCCCACAUGCCAUGUAUUGUAACCACAGCUGGGUUCUCUGCCUUGGAACUUUGGUAUAGGUUCUUACAAGAUGAUUGGUAAGUUCCUAAUAUGGAAAGUCGGUGAACACAAUUUAUUUCCAGAAGUUGAGGAUCAAGUGGCUAUAGGUCUUGGCAAUAGCAUAGAGGGGACUUGAAAUUUCCCAGGGUGGCAGUGCAGACCCUGGUCAAACAUUACAGUAGAUAAUACUUACCAACAUCAGUUUUGUAGCCAUGGGAGCUGAGAUACCAUUGUCUCUGGGGGCAAGGUUGCCCUAGCUACGUUUCUGGGUUGCUGCCUAAACCUCAGCAAGAACCAGCUGUGCUAGUUUUCUAAUUUGACACAAAUGUAAACAUACAUGGGAGGAAGGAAUCUCAAAUGAGGACUUGCCUCCAUUACAUUGUCCAGUGGGCACAUCUGUGGGGCAUCUUAUUAAUGAUUUAUAUGGGAGGACCCAGCCCAUAGUGGGUGGUGGUUCUGGUUGGUUUCUUAUAAGCAAUCAGAACAAGCCAUGGGGAACCCCUGGCAUUCCCCUCUGAUUCUGCUUCAGUUCCUUCCACCAGGUCCUGCAUUGAGUUCCUGCCCUGACUUCCCCUCAGUAAGGACUGUAAGAUGAAAUAAACCCUUUUCUCCUCAAGUAGAUUUUUUGUCAGUGUUUUAUGAGCCAUUAGAAAAUCAAAUUAGGGCACUAGCAUUGAUCAGUAGCACCCUGUAACCUUGGUAAGAAGGGAUUGCUGAUCUUGUUCCCUUAGUAGCCUUUUCACACAGAGAAAAAUGGAGAGUUUGGUCAAGGAGAAGGCCCUUUAGAUGGCAGAGACUAUUUCUCUGAAACAUAAAACGCCCAGUUUUGUAUAACUGUGUUAGAACCCAACAGCCACAAAUGUCUUGAACCAGGUUUGCCGGCCGAUAUCAGUAGGCUUCUGCACCAGCAGGCCAGUGUCAGUCAGCUUUUAUAACCAUCAUGAUCUUCAACGCUUCACCUUUGAGGAAUCCCAAAGGGAAAGUCAAGCCAUCUCAGACACCUAGGUGGAAGGAAAAAGACAAACUUUCUCCAGGAACUUGGAGCUGAUUCUUCAUGUAAUUGACAGUUUAGAGAAUUGCUCCUUGUCUUCUACUCUGCCUCUGUGAGCUCCAGAGCACUGGAGCCAGCCCUGACCUUGAUACCUGACCGUUCCUAGGCUACUAAACCUCAGCAGAUGCCUGGCAUCCAUGACUGAACCCCUGGGGCCACUGGGCCUUUCUGCUGCCUAGUGUAAUCUGUCCUUUGGUGUUUCACCAGAGAAGCAACUCCAUCUUUCUUUUAUAUGCCCCUGUGGGUCUUCACUUGACUCUAGUUCUCAAAAGCAAUUUAUAGUGAAGAUCUCAAACUUUCCCCCUGUUCUUUCCUUAAAAUCUUUCCCAUUUUCUUCCCCAAACCCAUGGGCUGGAAAGAUGGUUCAGUGGGUAAAAUGUCUGCU